rfam:Schistosoma mansoni, Puerto Rico, WGS project CABG01000000 data, contig: 0044
AUCCAGUUGAAGAGUCCGAGAUAGGACAAAACACGCAUCCUGGAU